UACGGGGGGAGCAAGCGUUGUUCGGAUUUACUGGGCGUAAAGGGCGCGUAGGCGGCCAGCACACGUCAGUUGUGAAAUCUCCGAGCUUAACUCGGAAAGGUCAACUGAUACUGUGCGGCUAGAGUGCGGAAGGGGCAACUGGAAUUCUUGGUGUAGCGGUGAAAUGCGUAGAUAUCAAGAGGAACACCUGCGGCGAAGGCGGGUUGCUGGGCCGACACUGACGCUGAUGCGCGAAAGCUAGGGGAGCGAACGGG
rnacentral:rRNA from 1 species